rnacentral:rRNA from 1 species
CCCUUAGAUGUUCUGGGCCGCACGCGUGCUACACUGAGUGGAUCAGUGGGUCAGGUUGCGCGAAAGUGUUUCCUAAUCUUGAAAUCCGCUCGUGAUGGGGAUUGACGGUUGCAAUUUUCUGUCAUGAACGAGGAAUACCUUGUAAGCGCGGGUCAUCAUCCCGCGCUGAAUACGUCCCUGCCCUUUGUACACACCGCCCGUCGCUCCUACCGAUUGAGUGGUCCGGUGAGGCUUUGGGAUCUGAGCGGAAAGAGCGUUUCGCUGUUUCUGCUCGGAAAACUCAGUCGAACCUUAUCAUUUAGAGGAAGGAGAAGUCGUAACA